GACGAACGCUGGCGGCGUGCUUAACACAUGCAAGUCGAACGGAAAGGCCCUGCUUGCAGGGUCCUCGAGUGGCGAACGGGUGAGUAACACGUGGGUGAUCUGCCCUGCACUUCGGGAUAAGCCUGGGAAACUGGGUCUAAUACCGGAUAGGAGCCAUUUUUAGUGUGAUGGUUGGAAAGUUUUUUCGGUGUAGGAUGAGCUCGCGGCCUAUCAGCUUGUUGGUGGGGUAAUGGCCUACCAAGGCGGCGACGGGUAGCCGGCCUGAGAGGGUGGACGGCCACAUUGGGACUGAGAUACGGCCCAGACGCCUACGGGAGGCAGCAGUGGGGAAUAUUGCACAAUGGGCGCAAGCCUGAUGCAGCGACGCCGCGUGGGGGAUGACGGCCUUCGGGUUGGAAACUCCUUUCGCUAGGGACGAAGCUUUUUGUGACGGUACCUAGAUAAGAAGCACCGGCUAACUACGUG
rnacentral:rRNA from 1 species